rnacentral:lncRNA from 1 species
AGGUAUAUCACACUCAAGGAAAUCUGAAUCCCAUGUCAGAAGGGUCCUGCUAUAGUUAGGAUAAUCUGCAGAAGUGGUAAAAAUAUGAAGAAUUUCAGUUAUUAAUUGGAACUUCCUUUUAAGCAACACUUUCAAGUCAGUUCUUUAAUCUGCCUGCCAAUUGCCGACUGAUAAAUGCUAAAUGUGAUACAUUUAGCAUUUUGAGCAGUUAUUUGGGAUAAACAAUAGUUACUUCGUCUGAAGAUGUAAACAAUAUGUACCAUCUCUAAUACCUAUUCCAUUGGUGUUAGACAAAUUCAUGUUCAUACAUUUAGCAUUUUGAGCAGUUAUUUGGGAUAAACAAUAGUUACUUCGUCUGAAGAUGUAAACAAUACGUACCAUCUGUAAUACCUAUUCCAUUGGUGUUAGACAAAUUCAUGUUCAUCCCAGUUAUUGAUCUAAUGACUAACAGCAAAGCCUUGUCCUACACCUAGUUAAUUGACACUAGCAUUCUGAUAUGUUCGGAUUUAAGUUUCAUAUCCUUCAUUUAUAUAUUUAUAUAUAUCUUAAUUUUAUUUUAACUUUCCUAUAUUUAUGCAUGGACUAAGCUUAUGUUUUGGCAGGAC